AUGAACGCUGGCGGCGUGCCUAAUACAUGCAAGUCGAACGCUGGAAAUCUAGCUUGCUAGAUUGAAGGAGUGGCGAACGGGUGAGUAAUACAUAAGCAACCUACCCACGAAGACUGGGAUAAUCUCUGGAAACGGGGACUAAUACCGGAUAGGUAAUCGGAAGGCAUCUUCUGAUUAUUAAAGGUUAAAAACACUGGUGGAUGGGCUUAUGGCGCAUUAGUUAGUUGGUGAGGUAACGGCCCACCAAGACGAUGAUGCGUAGCCGGCCUGAGAGGGUGAACGGCCACAUUGGGACUGAGACACGGCCCAGACUCCUACGGGAGGCAGCAGUAGGGAAUGUUCGGCAAUGGGGGAAACCCUGACCGAGCAACGCCGCGUGAGUGAUGACGGCCUUCGGGUUGUAAAGCUCUGUUGUAAGGGAAGAACGGUAGAUAGAGAAUAUCUAAAUGACGGUACCUUACCAGAAAGCCACGGCUAACUACGUG
rnacentral:rRNA from 1 species